rnacentral:rRNA from 1 species
GGAGUCUGGGCCGUGUCUCAGUCCCAAUGUGGCCGUUCAACCUCUCAGUCCGGCUACUGAUCGUCGCCAUGGUGAGCCGUUACCUCACCAUCUAGCUAAUCAGACGCGAGCCCAUCUUUGAGUGAUAAAUCUUUGGUAGUCCUAUCAUGCGGUAAAACUACGUUAUGAGGUAUUACCAUCCGUUUCCAGAAGCUAUCCCUCUCUCAAAGGUAGGUUGCUCACGUGUUACUCACCCGUCCGCCACUAAGAUAAUCUAAGUAAACUCAAAUUAUCUCCGUUCGACUUGCAUGUGUUAAGCGUGCCGCCAGCGUCGUCCUGAGCCACUGAUCAAACUACU